GACGAACGCUGGCGGCGUGCUUAACACAUGCAAGUCACGGGGGCUCGCAAGAGCAACCGGCGAACGGGUGCGUAACACGUGAGCAACCUGCCGAUCUGAGGGGGAUAGCCGGCCCAACGGCCGGGUAAUACCGCAUACGGUUCUCGAGGGGGAUCCUCUUGAGAAGAAACCUCCGGGGCAGAUCGAGGGGCUCGCGGCCUAUCAGCUAGUUGGUGAGGUAACGCUCACCAAGGCANCGGACGGGUAGCUGGUCUGAGAGGAUGGCCAGCCACAUUGGGACUGAGAGACGGCCCAGACUCCUACGGGAGGCAGCAGGUGGGGAAUCUUGCGCAAUGGCCGAAAGGCUGACGCAGCGACGCCGCGUGUGGGAUGAAGCA
rnacentral:rRNA from 1 species